CUGAUGUUCAUCCGAUGACUUGUUUGCAUUAACUGAACGGCUAAAGUGUUUUCAUUUCAUCGGCAUAAAAAUUGCAGUUUUCUGUAGGAAUUUCUUAAAAGGUUUGUAAAGCAUGUGAUUCUUGAUAUGAUAAAUUUAAUUGUAAAGUGCCUAUGUUUCUGUAUGAAUAGAAAUUGGUACCAUGUGGCCAGUGGCCCAUAUUAUAUACUACCAUAUACCAAAUGAUUUCAUGGUACUGUGGUAUAAACCAAUCUAGACCUAUUAAAGCCCAACAUUCUCUCUCUUCAAAUUCCCCCUUGUUUUAUGUUACUAAGAAAGCUCACAUUUAAAAUAGGGACUAUUCGAAAGCAAUUUCCCAUUGCAAUGAUGGCAACAGAACCGCUAACAAAGAAACAAAACACAAGAAAGACAAUCGGCACUCAUAGUGGGACGUUCCACUGUGACGAGGUGUUAGCAUGUUGUAUGUUGAAGCAGUUGCCGGAAUAUGGUGAUGCCGAG
rnacentral:lncRNA from 1 species